GAGUUACACGGCAUAGGUGUGCAGUUCCCCAGAGUUACACGGCAUAGGUGUGCAGUUCCCCAGAGUUACACGGCAUAGGUGUGCAGUUCCCCAGAGUUACACGGCAUAGGUGUGCAGUUCCCCAGAGUUACACGGCAUAGGUGUGCAGUUCCCCAGAGUUACACGGCAUAGGUGUGCAGUUCCCCAGAGUUACACGGCAUAGGUGUGCAGUUCCCCAGAGUUACACGGCAUAGGUGUGCAGUUCCCCAGAGUUACACGGCAUAGGUGUGCAGUUCCCCAGAGUUACACGGCAUAGGUGUGCAGUUCCCCAGAGUUACACGGCAUAGGUGUGCAGUUCCCCAGAGUUACACGGCAUAGGUGUGCAGUUCCCCAGAGUUACACGGCAUAGGUGUGCAGUUCCCCAGAGUUACACGGCAUAGGUGUGCAGUUCCCCAGAGUUACACGGCAUAGGUGUGCAGUUCCCCAGAGUUACACGGCAUAGGUGUGCAGUUCCCCAGAGUUACACGGCAUAGGUGUGCAGUUCCCCAGAGUUACACGGCAUAGGUGUGCAGUUCCCCAGAGUUACACGGCAUAGGUGUGCAGUUCCCCAGAGUUACACGGCAUAGGUGUGCAGUUCCCCAGAGUUACACGGCAUAGGUGUGCAGUUCCCCAGAGUUACACGGCAUAGGUGUGCAGUUCCCCAGAGUUACACGGCAUAGGUGUGCAGUUCCCCAGAGUUACACGGCAUAGGUGUGCAGUUCCCCAGAGUUACACGGCAUAGGUGUGCAGUUCCCCAGAGUUACACGGCAUAGGUGUGCAGUUCCCCAGAGUUACACGGCAUAGGUGUGCAGUUCCCCAGAGUUACACGGCAUAGGUGUGCAGUUCCCCAGAGUUA